GAAAAGGAUGCACUGGGUCGCUGAACCACCGGCUUGUGAUACGCCAGUGAAGACUAUGGCUUCCACUCACUCCUUUCUGCCUUCCGGUGUUUACCCACGUGCCCCUGCGUGAUGUGGUGAGCCUCCUCCUCUCAGGAAAUAUUGGAUGGGAAGAAGGAAGAUUCAAAAGUCUACAUUUGAUCUUGACCACUAUGAAAUCUUUUACCCCAUGGGCCAGUAACUCAGCGUGGAAGACACUCCAAUUGCGAAGUAUGUCAGUACUAAUUAUAUUGUUGGGGACUGAAGAAGUAAUCAUCAAGUGAGUCUAUGGGCCUUUUGGACCCACUAUGAGCCAGAUUUUGACCAGGUGCCUG